UAUGUGAUCGUCUCUCGCAUAUCAAUAAGCGGAGGAAAAGAAACUAACAAGGAUUCCCCUAGUAACGGCGAGUGAAGCGGGAAGAGCUCAAAUUUGAAAUCUUAAAGGGUUUCCCUUUACGAAUUGUAGUUUAAAGAAGUGUUUUCUGUUGAGGUUUUGGUAAAAGUUCUUUGGAAUAGGACAUCAUAGAGGGUAAGAAUCCCGUAUUUGACCUUUACUUUCAACUUUGUGAUACACUUUCAAAGAGUCGGAUUGUUUGGGAAUGCAGUCCAAAGUGGGCGGUAAAUUUCAUCUAAAGCUAAAUAUUGGCGAGAGACCGAUAGCGAACAAGUACCGUGAGGGAAAGAUGAAAAGAACUUUGAAAAGAGAGUUAAACAGUACGUGAAAUUGUCAAAAGGGAAGCGUUUGACACCAGUGUUGUUUUUCUGAAAAUCAAUUAAAGAACUGUUUAUGCUAAGCUGUUUAGACUUUAUCAGCUAUCUGUUUAGUUUUGAGCUUUUCUUUAAUGCACUUUUCAGUUAACAAGUCAACAUCAAUUUCUUUUGCUGUAAAAAAGCUUGAGGAAGGUGGCUUGAGAUUCGUCUUAAGUGUUUAUAGCCUCUUGCCUAUGCAGUCGGAGAGAUUGAGGUCUGCAGCGUAGAUCCUUCGGGGCUAAAUGCAUUUGUGCUAAGUUAUAGCAUUUUAUAGACAACUUGUUGACUAUGAUUUGUCUUGUAGCUUACUCGCUUAUGUUAUUUUACCUACGCUUAGGAUGUUGACGCGCGUGUGUGCGUGAUCUAUACAUGACUCUGCGCAUAUCAAUAAGCGGAGGAAAAGGCUGCGGAACUGAACGACCGCUACCUACGCUUAGGAUGUUGACGCGCGUGUGUGCGUG
rnacentral:rRNA from 1 species